rnacentral:rRNA from 1 species
UGGGGAAUAUUGGACAAUGAGCGCAAGCCUGAUCCAGCAAUACCGCGUGUGUGAAGAAGGCCCUAGGGUUGUAAAGCACUUUCAAUGGGGAGGAAAACCUGCCGACCAAUACCCGGUAGCUUGACACUACCUUUAGAAGAAGCACCGGCUAACUCCGUGCCAGCAGCCGCGGUAAUACGGAGGGUGCGAGCGUUAAUCGGAAUUACUGGGCGUAAAGCGUGCGUAGGCGGUUCGUUAAGUCAGAUGUGAAAGCCCUGGGCUCAACCUGGGAACUGCAUUUGAAACUGGCGAACUAGAGUUGGGUAGAGGGGAGUGGAAUUUCAGGUGUAGCGGUGAAAUGCGUAGAUAUCUGAAGGAACACCAGUGGCGAAGGCGACUUACUGGACUCAAACUGACGCUGAGGUACGAAAGCGUGGGUAGCAAACAGG